AUUGAACGCUGGCGGCAGGCCUAACACAUGCAAGUCGAGCGGAUGAAGGGAGCUUGCUCCUGGAUUCAGCGGCGGACGGGUGAGUAAUGCCUAGGAAUCUGCCUGGUAGUGGGGGAUAACGUCCGGAAACGGGCGCUAAUACCGCAUACGUCCUGAGGGAGAAAGUGGGGGAUCUUCGGACCGCACGCUAUCAGAUGAGCCUAGGUCGGAGUAGCUAGUUGGUGGGGUAAAGGCCUACCAAGGCGACGAUCCGUAACUGGUCUGAGAGGAUGAUCAGUCACACUGGAACUGAGACACGGUCCAGACUCCUACGGGAGGCAGCAGUGGGGAAUAUUGGACAAUGGGCGAAAGCCUGAUCCAGCCAUGCCGCGUGUGUGAAGAAGGUCUUCGGACUGUAAAGCACUUUAAGUUGGGAGGAAGGGCAGUAAGUUAAUACCUUGCUGUUUUGACGUUACCAACAGAAUAAGCACCGGCUAACUUCGUG
rnacentral:rRNA from 1 species